AGUUCGAAUUGAAGGCUGAAAUUCGCCUUCAUGAAGUCGGAAUUGCUAGUAAUGGCAGGUCAGCAUACUGCCGUGAAUACGUUCCCGGGCCUUGUACACACCGCCCGUCACACCAUGAGAGUUGGAGAUACCCGAAGCCUGUGAGCUAACUUUUAGAGGCAGCAGUCGAAGGUAGAAUCAAUGAUUGGGGUGAAGUCGUAACAAGGUAAC
rnacentral:rRNA from 1 species